CGGAUUGUAGUCUGCAACCCGACUACAUGAAGCUGGAAUCGCUAGUAAUCGCGGAUCAGCAUGCCGCGGUGAAUACGUUCCCGGGCCUUGUACACACCGCCCGUCACACCAUGAGAGUCGGGAACACCCGAAGUCCGUAGCCUAACCGCAAGGGGGGCGCGGCCGAAGGUGGGUUCGAUAAUUGGGGUGAAGUCGUAACAAGGUACC
rnacentral:rRNA from 1 species